rnacentral:rRNA from 1 species
GGGUGAUGGCGUGCCUUUUGUAGAAUGAACCGGCGAGUUACGAUUACAUGCAAGGUUAAGUUGAAGAGACGGAGCCGCAGCGAAAGCGAGUCUGAAUAGGGCGAAUUUAGUAUGUAGUCGUAGACCCGAAACCAGGUGAUCUACCCAUGUCCAGGGUGAAGUCCAGGUAACACUGGAUGGAGGCCCGAACCCACGCACGUUGAAAAGUGCGGGGAUGAGGUGUGGGUAGCGGAGAAAUUCCAAUCGAACUUGGAGAUAGCUGGUUCUCUCCGAAAUAGCUUUAGGGCUAGCCUCACGUAGUAAGAGUCUUGGAGGUAGAGCACUGUUUGGACUAGGGGCCCUCAUCGGGUUACCGAAUUCAGACAAACUCCGAAUGCCAAAGACUUAUCCGUGGGAGUCAGACUGCGAGUGAUAAGAUCCGUAGUCAAAAGGGAAACAGCCCAGACCACCAGCUAAGGUCCCAAAGUAUACGUUAAGUGGAAAAGGAUGUGGAGUUGCUUAGACAACCAGGAUGUUGGCUUAGAAGCAGCCACCAUUUAAAGAGUGCGUAAUAGCUCACUGGUCGAGUGACUCUGCGCCGAAAAUGUACCGGGGCUAAACGUAUCACCGAAGCUGUGGAUUGACAUCUACGAUGUCAGUGGUAGGAGAGCGUUCUAAGGGCGUUGAAGCUAGACCGUAAGGACUGGUGGAGCGCUUAGAAGUGAGAAUGCCGGUAUGAGUAGCGAAAGAUGAGUGAGAAUCUCAUCCACCGAAUGCCUAAGGUUUCCUGAGGAAGGCUCGUCCGCUCAGGGUUAGUCGGGACCUAAGCCGAGGCCGAAAGGCGUAGGCGAUGGACAACAGGUUGAUAUUCCUGUACCACCUCUUUAUCGUUUGAGUGAUGGGGGGACGCAGGAGGAUAGGGUAAGCGCACUGUUGGAUAUGUGCGUGUAAGCAGUUAGAGCGAGAAGUAGGAAAAUCCGCUUCUCACAACGCUUGAGCUGUGAUGCCGAGGGAAAUAUAGUACCGAAGUUCCUGAUUCCACACUGCCAAGAAAAGCCUCUAGCGAGAUAAAAGGUGCCCGUACCGCAAACCGACACAGGUAGGCGAGGAGAGAAUCCUAAGGUGAGCGAGAGAACUCUCGUUAAGGAACUCGGCAAAAUGACCCCGUAACUUCGGGAGAAGGGGUGCUCUUUAGGGUUCAUAGCCCUGAAGAGCCGCAGUGAAUAGGCCCAGGCGACUGUUUAGCAAAAACACAGGUCUCUGCGAAGCCGCAAGGCGAAGUAUAGGGGCUGACGCCUGCCCGGUGCUGGAAGGUUAAGAGGAGGGGUUAGC